GUGAAUCAUCAAAUCUUUGAACGCAAAUUGCGCUUCCUAGCAUCCCGGGAAGUAUGCCUGUUUGAGGGUAAGUAUUAACAAAAAAAUCGGUUUGGUUGCAAAUUGUGACGUUUGCAGAGUUUGGGCUAUCUUAACUUUUUUGGUUAAGGGGCUUAAAAUUGACCUUUUUUGCGCAUUGUUAGACGUACAUAAAUUGUUUUUUUAUUCGUCUAUUCUUAAUGCCAAAAUCUA
rnacentral:misc_RNA from 1 species